AACGAACGCUGGCGGCAUGCCUAACACAUGCAAGUCGAACGAAGCCUUCGGGCUUAGUGGCGUACGGGUGCGUAACGCGUGGGAAUCUGCCCUUGGGUUCGGAAUAACAGUUAGAAAUGACUGCUAAUACCGGAUGAUGUCUUCGGACCAAAGAUUUAUCGCCCAAGGAUGAGCCCGCGUAGGAUUAGGUAGUUGGUGGGGUAAUGGCCCACCAAGCCGACGAUCCUUAGCUGGUCUGAGAGGAUGAUCAGCCACACUGGGACUGAGACACGGCCCAGACUCCUACGGGAGGCAGCAGUGGGGAAUAUUGGACAAUGGGCGAAAGCCUGAUCCAGCAAUGCCGCGUGAGUGAUGAGGCCUUAGGGUUGUAAAGCUCUUUUACCAGGGAUGAUAAUGACAGUACCUGAAGAAUAAGCUCCGGCUAACUCCGUGCCAGCAGCCGCCGUAA
rnacentral:rRNA from 1 species